rnacentral:misc_RNA from 1 species
GACGUAGGGGGCGAGCAUGGUCCGGAAUUAUUGGGCGUAAAGAGCUCGUAGGCGGUUUGUCGCGUCUGCCGUGAAAGUCCGGGGCUUAACUCCGGAUCUGCAGUGGGUACGGGCAGACUAGAGUGCAGUAGGGGAGACUGGAAUUCCUGGUGUAGCGGUGAAAUGCGCAGAUAUCAGGAGGAACACCGAUGGCGAAGGCAGGUCUCUGGGCUGUUACUGACGCUGAGGAGCGAAAGCAUGGGGAGCGAACAGG